AUGACAAGCGCUAGAGGAACCGUUGCUGCUUGGCUCCUCCGCUGUCUCAGGGUCGUCGCGCCACCACCAUGCUGUCGCGCUCCUAUUCUCCGCAGCCCUCCACGGCUCGGCGCUGACGAGGACCGACGGGAUCCCCGCCACUGCUUCCUCCACCCAGCGGCGAGAGCUGUGCCCGCUCUUCACUACGCCGGCACACCACGCUGCUCAGAUCCGUCAUGGUGGAAACCCGAUACAGGUGGCCUUCCUUCAGAUCUUUUUUGGUUUCUGUCGAAUUUGUCAGCUGCUCAGAGGAGUGGAAGUGAGUAG
rnacentral:rRNA from 1 species